rnacentral:tRNA from 1 species
CAUUAAGUGACUGAAAAAGUAAAGUAUUGGUCUCUUAAACCAAAUUAUGAUAUAGUAACGUAUAUCCUUAAUGA